rnacentral:rRNA from 1 species
AGAGUUUGAUCCUGGCUCAGAUUGAACGCUGGCGGCAUGCCUUACACAUGCAAGUCGAACGGUAACAGGUCUUCGGAUGCUGACGAGUGGCGAACGGGUGAGUAAUACAUCGGAACGUGCCCAGUAAUGGGGGAUAGCUCGGCGAAAGCCGGAUUAAUACCGCAUACGCCCUGAGGGGGAAAGUGGGGGACCGCAAGGCCUCACGUUAUUGGAGCGGCCGAUGGCUGAUUAGCUAGUUGGUAGGGUAAAGGCCUACCAAGGCGACGAUCAGUAGCUGGUCUGAGAGGACGAUCAGCCACACUGGGACUGAGACACGGCCCAGACUCCUACGGGAGGCAGCAGUGGGGAAUUUUGGACAAUGGGGGAAACCCUGAUCCAGCAAUGCCGCGUGUGCGAAGAAGGCCUUCGGGUUGUAAAGCACUUUUGUCAGGGAAGAAAUCCUUUGGGCUAAUACCCUAGGGGGAUGACGGUACCUGAAGAAUAAGCACCGGCUAACUACGUGCCAGCAGCCGCGGUAAUACGUAGGGUGCAAGCGUUAAUCGGAAUUACUGGGCGUAAAGCGUGCGCAGGCGGUUGUGUAAGACAGGUGUGAAAUCCCCGGGCUUAACCUGGGAAUUGCAUUUGUGACUGCACGACUAGAGUGUGUCAGAGGGGGGUGGAAUUCCACGUGUAGCAGUGAAAUGCGUAGAUAUGUGGAGGAACACCAAUGGCGAAGGCAGCCCCCUGGGAUAACACUGACGCUCAUGCACGAAAGCGAGGGGAGCAAACAGGAUUAGAUACCCUGGUAGUCCACGCCCUAA